GACGAACGCUGGCGGCGUGCUUAACACAUGCAAGUCGAACGGAAAGGCCCUGCUUUUGUGGGGUGCUCGAGUGGCGAACGGGUGAGUAACACGUGAGUAACCUGCCCUUGACUUUGGGAUAACUUCAGGAAACUGGGGCUCAUACCGGAUAGGAGCUCCUGCUGCAUGGUGGGGGUUGGAAAGUUUCGGCGGUUGGGGAUGGACUCGCGGCUUCUCCGCUUGUUGGUGGGGUAGUGGCUUACCAAGGCUUUGACGGGUAGCCGGCCUGAGAGGGUGACCGGCCACAUUGGGACUGAGAUACGGCGCAGACUCCUACGGGAGGCAGCAGUGGGGAAUAUUGCACAAUGGGCGGAAGCCUGAUGCAGCAACGCCGCGUGCGGGAUGACGGCCUUCGGGUGGUAAACCGCUUUCGCCUGUGACGAAGCGUGAGUGACGGUAAUGGGUAAAGAAGCACCGGCUAACUACGUG
rnacentral:rRNA from 1 species